rnacentral:tRNA from 1 species
GGGCGUGUGGUCUAGUGGUAUGAUACCCGCUUUAGGGAUGCGGGUGGCCCGGGGUUCAAUUCCCCGCUCGCCCC